rnacentral:tRNA from 2 species
GUGGGUGUAGCUCAACGGUUAGAGCAUCGGACUGUGGAUCCGAAGGUUGGGGGUUCGAUUCCCCUCACUCACCCCA